GCAGAAGUGCCGAGUCCCGGCCGGGGGCAGCCUCGCCGCCGCUCAGCUCGGGAAUCCCUGCCCCCCACCAGCACCUCAGUGGGGGAUACUGCAAGUUCAAGGUGGUUUAAGGCGUGAAUGAAUGAAGGAGCAAGCAGUAAGCCCCGACAGCAAGGCCACCACAGCCCUCGCCCCACAGGGACGCCUGAGCAAGGACCCAAGCAGGGGACAAGCAGGCUCACCCCGCCCUUGCGGGGCUGACCACGAGGCCCCGUCCGGUGGAACACGCCAUGACGCUUCAGGAGGCUCAUGUAGCUGGCGCCGUAUGGGACAGCGGGGGAGAGAGAAAAUGCACAGCCCAGGGAAUGUGGAGACAGGCCCAGCGCCAGGCAUGGGGGCCGGAAGGAGCAGCCGGGGAGCAGGGGGCAGGGCCUGGAGUCCCGCCUUGCAGGUCAGAGAUCUGAACCUGCCCCAGCCCCAGGACUCUGAGUGCAGCAAGAGGGGAGCCGGGCUGGAGAGUGGGGAGCACGGAGACUGUGGCCUGGAUGGUGCCAGAGCAAACAGGAGAGAGGCUGCCCAACGCAGAGGCUGCAGCACAGACCAGAGGGUCCCGGGGCUGACUGGGUGGGGGCAGCUCCCAGCGAGAGGCCCCUGGGAUUUGGGUAAGUAGAGGCACAUGCAGACUCUGGCCACAGGGCACCUCGCGCACGAGGGGAGUUCACCACACAAGCUGAGCGGAGGGCGGACGCAGGAGAGCAGCGGUUUCUCGGAAGCCAAGGGCGGUCAUGGAGCCCCACGCCACAGCGCUUCCCACGGGGCCACACCAUCCGGUCUGCGGAGGGGGCUGCAUUGCCGGGAAGGACCAUCUGAUUCUGGAUUCCAGCCUCACCCUGGGCCACCGCUGAGUGUCCCAAGUGGCCCCUUAGCCCCCAGGGCCAGGCGGCAUCCCAAUCCCCUAGGGAUGUCUGUGCUCAGAAUGUGGCACACACGCCCCGGCAGGGCCAUCCUCCUCCUCCUGCACCCGCCACAGCCGUGGAUUCGGGGUCUCUAUCGUGGGCAGAAAUUCACACAGUCAAGGGGGGCCACAGCACCCCCUUAGGGGUGAUGAGGAAGUGGGAGCUCAGGGAGGACCCCGGGCAGGGCUGCCUCCUCACCUCUCUUCGGCCUUUGGACACUGGAGCUCAGAGGACCAAGUGAAUGAAUGAAUGACUCGAUCAAUCAACUGAUCCAUGAAUCCAUGGACCCCUGAACAGCUGGACAGCUGGGCUGUGGGCAGGACAGGGGACUCUGGCUGAAGCCGCGUUCAUAUGUGUUCAGCUUUGUGAGUGGGGCGAGGUUGAGGGCUUAUUCAGUGGGGGAGGUGCACGGCAGGGCCAGUACCCUUGGAGGGUCAGGCCACAGGGGCGGGGACACCUGCCAGGAUGCCCAACCCCAGAGGCAGUGGGAGCUGUUGGGGAGCCGUGGUCCCAGUCAGCGGUGGCUUGAUGAGGGCUGCUCCCACUUCAUCCGCAGGAUUCCAGCCGCAGCUACCCCACACCCGAGCUGUCCCUAGUCGCCCACCGCGGCCGGACAAAGCCCCAGCAGCCAAGGUGCUCCGUGGGGAGGGUUUCUUGGGUUUCUUGAAGCCAGUAUUUCCCAUAGUAUCUUACGUCCCAGCAGAGGCCUCCACUGUGCCCGGACCAGCGGCCCACUCAGUGAGUCGAGUGUGCACCUGGCACCCCUCUUUCUGGAAAUCCACGAACAAUGGGCUCCCAGCAGAGGACUGAGGCUGAGCAGGCCACUUCCCUGGAGCUGACCCCACAGCUGUGUAGGUACAGGGUGGCCGUGAACACUUAGGGCUCUCUCGGGCUGUGCGCUUCUUGUUCACUGCAAGGAGCAGGGUGUUGGCUCCUGACCAAGCCCUGUCACUGCUGCCCAGCCACACGUGGGGCCCCUUCACCCACCCCUGACCACCUCAUGCAGGUGAAGCCACUGUGGAAACAGCCUGGCAGUCCCUUGAAAAAUGAAGUCAUAAACCCCAGCAAUUGCACUCCUGGGCCUCUGACAGAGCUUGCACGUCCCCUCCAAAGCUCGUGUUAAGCUGUGAGCCCCAGUGCCGGAGGUGGGGCCUGGUGUGUUUGGGUUCUGGGGGUGGAUCCCUCAUGGCUGGGUGCCAUGAACCCACUCACCACAGUGAGUUCUCACGAGAUCUGGUUGUUGAGAAGUGUGUCAUACCUCCCCCACAACUCUCUGUCUUUUGUUCCGGCUCUGGCAAUGUAACAAGCCUGCUCCUCCUUCGCCUUCUGCCAUGACUGUAAGCUUUCUGAGGGCUGACCAGAAGCCCAGCAGAUGCCAGCACCAUGCUUCCUAUACAGCCUGCAGAACCGUGAGCCAGCUAAACCUCUCCUCAUAAAUCACCGAGCCCCAGGUUUAUCUUUACAGCAAUGCAAGACCUGACUAAUACAGCACCAGCUCCCCAAAAUAAAAAGAAAUAUUCAAACAAAUAAGCGCACAGAAGUGUUCCCAGCAGCACUAUUCACAGCAGCCAAAAGGCGGAGGAGCCACAGGCUUGUCAGCUGAUGACAGAUAAAGAAAGCAUGGCCUGUCAUCCCAGCACUUUGGGAGGCCGAGGUGGGUGGAUCACCUGAGGUUGGGAGUUCAAGACCAGCCUGGCCAACAUGGUGAAACCCAGUCUCUACUAAAAAUAUAAAAAUUAGCUGGGUGUGAUGAUGAGCGCCUGUAGUCCCAGCUACUUGGAAGGCUGAGGAACAAGAAUCGCUUGAACCCGGGAGGCAGAGGUCGCAGUGAACCGAGAUCAU
rnacentral:lncRNA from 1 species